rnacentral:rRNA from 1 species
GAAUAUUGGACAAUGGGGGGAACCCUGAUCCAGCCAUGCCGCGUGUGUGAAGAAGGCCUUUUGGUUGUAAAGCACUUUAAGCGAGGAGGACGAGCUCUUGGUUAAUACCCACGAUGCCUGGACGUUACUCGCCGAAUAAGCCCCGGCUAACUACGAGCCAGCGGCCGCGGUAAUACGUAGGGUGCAAGCGUUAAUCGGAAUUACUGGGCGUAAAGCGUGCGCAGGCGGUUUGGCAAGAAGGAUGUGAAAUCCCAGGGCUUAACCUUGGAACUGCAUUCUUAACUGCCAGGCUAGAGUAUGUCAGAGGGGGGUAGAAUUCCACGUGUAGCAGUGAAAUGCGUAGAGAUCUGGAGGAAUACCGAUGGCGAAGGCAGCCAUCUGGCCUAAUACUGACACUGAGGUGCGAAAGCAUGGGGAGCAAACA